GAUGAACGCUAGCGGGAGGCCUAACACAUGCAAGCCGAGCGGUAUUGUUUCUUCGGAAAUGAGAGAGCGGCGUACGGGUGCGUAACACGUGUGCAACCUGCCUUUAUCUGGGGGAUAGCCUUUCGAAAGGAAGAUUAAUACUCCAUAAUAUAUUGAACGGCAUCGUUUAAUAUUGAAAGCUCCGGCGGAUAGAGAUGGGCACGCGCAAGAUUAGCUAGUUGGUGAGGUAACGGCUCACCAAGGCGAUGAUCUUUAGGGGGCCUGAGAGGGUGAUCCCCCACACUGGUACUGAGACACGGACCAGACUCCUACGGGAGGCAGCAGUGAGGAAUAUUGGUCAAUGGGUGCAAGCCUGAACCAGCCAUCCCGCGUGAAGGACGACUGCCCUAUGGGUUGUAAACUUCUUUUGUAUAGGGAUAAACCUACCCUCGAGAGGGUAGCUGAAGGUACCAUACGAAUAAGCACCGGCUAACUCCGUG
rnacentral:rRNA from 1 species